AUUGAACGCUGGCGGCAUGCCUUACACAUGCAAGUCGAACGGCAGCACGGGUGCUUGCACCUGGUGGCGAGUGGCGAACGGGUGAGUAAUAUAUCGGAACGUACCUUAUUGUGGGGGAUAACGCAGCGAAAGCUGUGCUAAUACCGCAUAAUCCCUAAGGGGGAAAGCGGGGGACCGUAAGGCCUCGCGCAAUUAGAGCGGCCGAUACCUGAUUAGCUAGUUGGUAAGGUAAAGGCUCACCAAGGCAACGAUCAGUAGCUGGUCUGAGAGGACGUUCAGCCACACUGGGACUGAGGAACGGCCCAGACUCGUACGGGAGGCAGCAGUGGGGAAUUUUGGACAAUGGACGAAAGUCUGAUCCAGCAAUGCCGCGUGAGUUAAGAAGGCCUUCGAGUUGUAAAGCUCUUUUGUCAGUGAAGAAAACUUUAGUAAUAACACUAUUAAAGCAUGACGGUAACUGAAGAAUAAGGACCGGCUAACUACGUGCCAGCAGCCGCCGUAA
rnacentral:rRNA from 1 species